UUUUGGGUAAGAUAUGCUUGGAGAAAAGAGAACAUCUUAAACUAUGGAGCCUUGCCUUUUCAUGACGUUUGUUACCAUCCAGUUAAUCUAUCAAUUGAGAAAUCAGAAUCCAGCUACAUGGAAGGAGGAGAACCAUAUAAGCAUCUCCUCAGUUAGCUCUUCCUUCUUCAUUGAAGCUUUACCUCCAUUGAGUGCAAAUCUGCAUAUCGGACAGGUUCUGUGACCCAAACU